rnacentral:rRNA from 1 species
AUUGAACGCUGGCGGCAUGCCUUACACAUGCAAGUCGAACGGCAGCACGGGUGCUUGCACCUGGUGCCGAGUGGCUAACGGGGGAGUAAUCCAUCGGAACAAUUCCCGUAAUGUUGGUUAACCUGGCGAAAGCUGGAUUAAUAACGCAAAGGAAUCACCGGCGAAAUCGGGGGGCUUUCAGAGCUCGCCCUAUAAGGUUGGCCGAUGGCUGAUUAGCUAUUUGGUGGGGUAAAGGCCUUCCAGGCAGACGAUCAGUGGGUGGUCUGAGAGCCAGUCCAGCCACACUGGGACUGAGACACGGCCCAGACUCCUACGGGAGGCAGCAGUGGGGUAUUUUGGACAAUGGGCGAAAGCCUGAUCCAGCGAGGCCGCGUGUGUGAAGACGGCCUUCGGGUUGUAAAGCACUUUUGUCCGGAAAGAAAUCCUUGGCCCUAAUACGGUCGGGGGAUGACGGUACCGGAAGAAUAAGCACCGGCUAACUACGUG